GGGAGAUUAGUGUAGUGGUUAUCAUACCUGCCUUCCAAGCAGGUGACAUGGGUUCGAAUCCCGUAUCUCUCA
rfam:Candida arabinofermentans NRRL YB-2248 unplaced genomic scaffold CANARscaffold_8, whole genome shotgun sequence.